rnacentral:rRNA from 1 species
AAGAGGGGGGAUUAAUGAUUGGGAAUCCAGCUGAUGGAGGGGGAGAAUUGUUAAAACUGUCUAUAAUACCGCGUAAUAUCAAAAGAUUUCAGUGUGGAAGCUUGGGGACAGGUGCCAUAUGAUUAGCCCCUGUGGCAUUAGGCUAUUUUGAGGCAGGGAUCCGCUCCCGACUAUCGCAGCCAUAUCUAAUAUGUGACCAGCUCGCUGGUCUGAUACAGAGACACAACCCCUACCCCCACCCGCCGUGGGGAAUAUUGAGCAAUGGAUCUUCACCUAAGGCUGCCAUACCGACCCAUGACGGGGCGUUCGUGUUGGAAUCUUAAUGCUCUACUGUGUAAGGAGAUCAAGUGAAACGGUUGAGAGAUCGGAUUGCUUACAGAAUGACCGCUUCCUAACAGCGAACGACAAGCCACCAGCCGCCGGCAGGCGCAAGAGUACGUCGGUCUACCUGUUCGUCUUUAUUGAUUGAGCGUGGCCCAUUGCUAGCGCUUAAAUCCGACGGAAGAGGAUGGCUUUUAAUUCUUACUAAUCGCUUAACUAUUUUUACUAAAUUGGAAUACUUGGAAAUUGCGGGAGGUAACAUGCGGAUUGGCGUGGUAUGAGGGGGAAUAAAAGCGGAGGAACCUACGCCGGGUGAAAGGUUUCUCUCACUCCUUGGUUUGUGACCGAAAGCGUGACGAUCGAGAUUGGGUAUCAUGCGCUUGUGACUCCUC